GACUCGCUAACAUGUUCACCACUACAGUACACUAGUGAAUGGUGUGCUUUGUCAAUUUUUACUGCCAGGCCUCAUCUUUUUAGCGUGUCCCUCUGACAGUAAAUUGAACCACACUUCAACCCCUGUUCUUACUCUUCACCGAGUGGGCAGAGGAAGAGCCUUGAUUGGAAAGGACAGACGGCAUUUUGGAGAAAAGAAUGUACAGCUGCUUACGUAAGCGACGGACGGCAUGUUGUUUAUUUUCACCACAUUUCUGCAAAUCAUAUGCUCCCUUUCAAGGGCUUGUGUGUGCCCUGUCUUCAUGUUCCUCUUUUGCAAGGUUGUACAGAGAAGACAAUCUACUGUUGUUUUGGGUAGAAAUACUCGGAAUACCGAGGACAAAAACCUCAGUGUUCCUCCCAGUUACAUCAUAUUAAUUCUUAUGUGAUGUGGAAACUUGACUUUAAACGAAUGGCUCCAACUUCCGGAGACAAAUUCCUUGUGUUUCUGACGUACUUGGCAAAUAAAGGGCCCGAGGGAACACGGUGAUUGGGUGAAUGGAGCUGCUCUCAGUGGAGUAUGCGCCGUCUGUCACUAUCCUUGUGGCAGCAGAGUGGGAUGGAAUAAAGCUCCCCAAACGGAGCUAUUAAAGGCUAUUUUCAUCCCUGCACGUCUGUUUCUGUGGGCUUGUGCUCCAUAUAUAGAGCUGCCACCGGUGAUGCUAAUGAAACGCGUCCCCGUUUUCACCAGUUUAAAUCUACUUAUGUCAUCCUCUUCCUUGCAUCAACAAGGAGUCAGCCGUACCUGACCAUCUGGGCUUAGGCCUUAUGGUUGUCUUACAACAAACAGAAAGGUGCACUCUUAGACACUAGCUGGUAUUGAAAUUGUGUCAGUUCCUUUGGAAAUGAUGGCCCCAAAAAAUCCAAGAAAAACACAAUGGGUGUGAUUUACAAAACAAAGUCCCGGCCCGGGUCCUGUCAUUCCAGUGCAUAAUGCAGGGAGGUGACACGGACCUUAACCACUUUGUGUAACGAGCCAGCCACAAACAGAGCACAAAUUCAUGUGGCAGAUGCUGCACCUGCUGAUAUUAGAAGAAUUCAAUGACGGCACUAUUCACCUUGUCUUGCUGAAUGGAAUGAACAAAAUGCAUGAAAGGGAAGGUCUCUAUGAUCUGGAGUUUACAUAAUUGCUUAAAAGACAAAACUGUGAAUGGGUUGGAGUGUUGUGCAACCUGUUCUGUUAUACAGCAUUUUACAAAACUACACACCCCAAUUCCAAUGAAGUGAAGAUGUUGUUGUGUAAUGUGCAAAUAAAAAGAAUAUAAUGAUUUGGUGAUCCUUUACAGCCUCUAUUCCAAAAUUAUAAUUACCAUGAUCUUCUGGUCAGGAUCUGGAUCAAGGUGCCUACAGUAUAGAGGAAUUAAUUUUCAGUGUGUGGCAUCACUGCAACCAUCCAGAGAAUGAUGUCACUGCUGGUCACUUCGUUAUCCUCUAUCAACAAGGAAGUAGCCUGUUACCUAUUAUCACUUUUAACAGUUUUGCCUCAGUAAAUGUCUGUACGUUACAAUGCAACUUUGAUAUGGAGAUUCUAGUUGUAAUAAUAAUAUAAUACAAGAGGUUUACAAUGAAAUUCCAUUUCUAUGGUGGCAAUAUAACCCGAUUUUUUAUGCAACCUGGCACGUACCAUACUCCAUUACUAACCUGUGCUAACACAGUAUCUUUGUACGAAAAACAUUUCAUUUCAGUCUUAAAUACUCAACAAUCAAAAACCGUAAGUUUGUAGCUGAGCGUGUCUUCUUGUGUCACAUGACUGCGUUAUUAAAUUUCUGUACAAACUAGUUCAUUGCUCUUAGUUCACAACCCCAAAACCUCCAAACGCUGUAUGUCAUUACUGUCAUAAACCUAAGUCCCCCUGUAUCAUAUUGCUAAAAUUACAAGUUCAAAACCACA